rnacentral:lncRNA from 1 species
CCAAACAACACUAGAUAAGUCAUUUAGUGGUUCAACGCAAUGUUUCCGAGUUCUUAGCCCAUUUGGCACCCAAUUUCAACAAGUCUUUCUACACACUUCUAAACACUCUUCAUGCAUCUCUAGGUCUUGUAAUCGAUCAAAUUAAAUGUAUUUUAACAUAUACUAACCCCAAAAUACAGUAGAUAAGUCAUUUAGUUGUUCAACGCAAUGUUUCCGAGUUCUUAGCCCAUUUGGGACCCAAUUUCAACAAGUCUUUUUACACACUUCUAAACACUCUUCAUGCUUCUCUAGCACUUGUAAUCAAUCAAAUUCAUUGUAUUCUAACAUAUUCUGACACCAAACAACACUAGAUAAGUUUUUUAGUGGUUCAAACGCAAUGUUUCUGAGUUCUUAGCCCAUAUGGGACCCAAUUUCAACAAGUCUUUCUACACACUUCUAAACACUCUUCAUGAAUCUCUAGCACUUGUAAUCAAUCAAAUUCAUUGUAUUCUAACAUACUCUAACCUUAAACAACACUAGAUUAGUCAUUUAGUCGUUCAACACAAUGUUUCCGAGUUCUUAGCCCAUUUGGAACCCAAAUUCAACAAGUUUUUCUACACACUUUUAAACACUCUUCAUGCAUCUCUAGCACUUGUAAUCAAUCAAAGUUAUAGUAUUCUAACAUAUUCUCACCCGAAACAACACUAGAUAAGUCAUUUAGUGGUUCAACGCAAUGUUUCUGAGUUCUUAGCCCAUUUGGG